rnacentral:rRNA from 1 species
GGUUAAGCGACUAAGCGUACACGGUGGAUGCCCUGGCAGUCAGAGGCGAUGAAGGACGUGCUAAUCUGCGAUAAGCGUCGGUAAGGUGAUAUGAACCGUUAUAACCGGCGAUUUCCGAAUGGGGAAACCCAGUGUGUUUCGACACACUAUCAUUAACUGAAUCCAUAGGUUAAUGAGGCGAACCGGGGGAACUGAAACAUCUAAGUACCCCGAGGAAAAGAAAUCAACCGAGAUUCCCCCAGUAGCGGCGAGCGAACGGGGAGGAGCCCAGAGCCUGAAUCAGUGUGUGUGUUAGUGGAAGCGUCUGGAAAGGCGCGCGAUACAGGGUGACAGCCCCGUACACAAAAAUGCACAUACUGUGAGCUCGAUGAGUAGGGCGGGACACGUGGUAUCCUGUCUGAAUAUGGGGGGACCAUCCUCCAAGGCUAAAUACUCCUGACUGACCGAUAGUGAACCAGUACCGUGAGGGAAAGGCGAAAAGAACCCCGGCGAGGGGAGUGAAAAAGAACCUGAAACCGUGUACGUACAAGCAGUGGGAGCCUCUUUUAUGGGGUGACUGCGUACCUUUUGUAUAAUGGGUCAGCGACUUAUAUUCUGUAGCAAGGUUAACCGAAUAGGGGAGCCGAAGGGAAACCGAGUCUUAACUGGGCGUUAAGUUGCAGGGUAUAGACCCGAAACCCGGUGAUCUAGCCAUGGGCAGGUUGAAGGUUGGGUAACACUAACUGGAGGACCGAACCGACUAAUGUUGAAAAAUUAGCGGAUGACUUGUGGCUGGGGGUGAAAGGCCAAUCAAACCGGGAGAUAGCUGGUUCUCCCCGAAAGCUAUUUAGGUAGCGCCUCGUGAAUUCAUCUCCGGGGGUAGAGCACUGUUUCGGCAAGGGGGUCAUCCCGACUUACCAACCCGAUGCAAACUGCGAAUACCGGAGAAUGUUAUCACGGGAGACACACGGCGGGUGCUAACGUCCGUCGUGAAGAGGGAAACAACCCAGACCGCCAGCUAAGGUCCCAAAGUCAUGGUUAAGUGGGAAACGAUGUGGGAAGGCCCAGACAGCCAGGAUGUUGGCUUAGAAGCAGCCAUCAUUUAAAGAAAGCGUAAUAGCUCACUGGUCGAGUCGGCCUGCGCGGAAGAUGUAACGGGGCUAAACCAUGCACCGAAGCUGCGGCAGCGACACUAUGUGUUGUUGGGUAGGGGAGCGUUCUGUAAGCCUGUGAAGGUGUACUGUGAGGUAUGCUGGAGGUAUCAGAAGUGCGAAUGCUGACAUAAGUAACGAUAAAGCGGGUGAAAAGCCCGCUCGCCGGAAGACCAAGGGUUCCUGUCCAACGUUAAUCGGGGCAGGGUGAGUCGACCCCUAAGGCGAGGCCGAAAGGCGUAGUCGAUGGGAAACAGGUUAAUAUUCCUGUACUUGGUGUUACUGCGAAGGGGGGACGGAGAAGGCUAUGUUGGCCGGGCGACGGUUGUCCCGGUUUAAGCGUGUAGGCUGGUUUUCCAGGCAAAUCCGGAAAAUCAAGGCUGAGGCGUGAUGACGAGGCACUACGGUGCUGAAGCAACAAAUGCCCUGCUUCCAGGAAAAGCCUCUAAGCAUCAGGUAACAUCAAAUCGUACCCCAAACCGACACAGGUGGUCAGGUAGAGAAUACCAAGGCGCUUGAGAGAACUCGGGUGAAGGAACUAGGCAAAAUGGUGCCGUAACUUCGGGAGAAGGCACGCUGAUAUGUAGGUGAAGUCCCUCGCGGAUGGAGCUGAAAUCAGUCGAAGAUACCAGCUGGCUGCAACUGUUUAUUAAAAACACAGCACUGUGCAAACACGAAAGUGGACGUAUACGGUGUGACGCCUGCCCGGUGCCGGAAGGUUAAUUGAUGGGGUUAGCGCAAGCGAAGCUCUUGAUCGAAGCCCCGGUAAACGGCGGCCGUAACUAUAACGGUCCUAAGGUAGCGAAAUUCCUUGUCGGGUAAGUUCCGACCUGCACGAAUGGCGUAAUGAUGGCCAGGCUGUCUCCACCCGAGACUCAGUGAAAUUGAACUCGCUGUGAAGAUGCAGUGUACCCGCGGCAAGACGGAAAGACCCCGUGAACCUUUACUAUAGCUUGACACUGAACAUUGAGCCUUGAUGUGUAGGAUAGGUGGGAGGCUUAGAAGUGUGGACGCCAGUCUGCAUGGAGCCGACCUUGAAAUACCACCCUUUAAUGUUUGAUGUUCUAACGUUGACCCGUGAUCCGGGUUGCGGACAGUGUCUGGUGGGUAGUUUGACUGGGGCGGUCUCCUCCUAAAGAGUAACGGAGGAGCACGAAGGUUGGCUAAUCCUGGUCGGACAUCAGGAGGUUAGUGCAAUGGCAUAAGCCAGCUUGACUGCGAGCGUGACGGCGCGAGCAGGUGCGAAAGCAGGUCAUAGUGAUCCGGUGGUUCUGAAUGGAAGGGCCAUCGCUCAACGGAUAAAAGGUACUCCGGGGAUAACAGGCUGAUACCGCCCAAGAGUUCAUAUCGACGGCGGUGUUUGGCACCUCGAUGUCGGCUCAUCACAUCCUGGGGCUGAAGUAGGUCCCAAGGGUAUGGCUGUUCGCCAUUUAAAGUGGUACGCGAGCUGGGUUUAGAACGUCGUGAGACAGUUCGGUCCCUAUCUGCCGUGGGCGCUGGAGAACUGAGGGGGGCUGCUCCUAGUACGAGAGGACCGGAGUGGACGCAUCACUGGUGUUCGGGUUGUCAUGCCAAUGGCACUGCCCGGUAGCUAAAUGCGGAAGAGAUAAGUGCUGAAAGCAUCUAAGCACGAAACUUGCCCCGAGAUGAGUUCUCCCUGACCCUUUAAGGGUCCUGAAGGAACGUUGAAGACGACGACGUUGAUAGGCCGGGUGUGUAAGCGCAGCGAUGCGUUGAGCUAACCGGUACUAAUGAACCGUGAGGCUUAACCUU